UGCGAGGGUGGCCCAUAGAACUGUUGAGAGGGAGGUGCCCCAGAAAGUGGCUGAGAGGGUGGCUGAGAGGGUGGCUGGCGAAGGCUUGGAGGGUAGGUCUGAGGUGGAACAUAAGACGUUUCUUCAGGAUGAUGACCUAAUGGAGGUUGGUGUUGAGGAGGAGGAUUAAUGGGUGCAAUAGAAUGGUGCUGUUGCGGCAGCUGGGGUGGCUGAGAAUAUUGUGGAAGAGAGGCUGGUUGAUAUUGUUGAUGUGAUGGAGCUGCAGGAGGCGGCUGUGGUUGCUGGGUCGGUGGUAGUUGGUAUUGCUGGUUGGGAGCUUCUUGUGCCUGACCAGGUGGUUGAAAGUAGGGCUCUCGCUGUGGGAUGGAAGGAAUCUGGUUCGGAGGGAAUUGACUAGGUAGCUGAGCUGGAGGAGACUGCAUAUUGAGUUGGGGAGGAGGUGGCGGAGCAUUAGGGGGAGGGAGUGCAGGAAGUGUUUGAGGAGUAACAGGUGGAGGAAGUGGUUGGUGAGAUUGCUGAGGAGGAGAUGCUGCUUGCUUUGCAGAAUCUAAGGUCACAGUGUUCUGGGUUUCUGAUUGCUGGUCUGCUUUGGACACUUGAAGCUUUGCAAGCUGUAGGUGAGCCUCCACUAUUUCUUGUUUGUCCCUUAAAACCUGUACACCAGUUUGCACC
rnacentral:lncRNA from 1 species